CCUUCGCUUCACGGUUCAGGCCGCCAGAGGGGACUUCCCGGGAGCCUUCUGCCGACUGGAAAGCCCGAGGCGCGGAAGGACUGCGAUUGUCCCUGACUGGACAGAGUUCAGUGCUCCGGCGGGGCGGGCGCAGCCUGGCGCCUCCGCCCAGGGGAAGGGUCCUCUGAACCGCCGGGCGCAGCGCAGGUGCGGCGGGGCGGGACGCGCAGGGGCCGAGGGCGGCCUCCCAGGCCCGCCUGGGCGUCGGAGCCCGCUGGGCAGGGAGUGCACUGGAGAGCCCCGAGCCCGGGACAGCCUAGCCAACUCUUGGGCUGAGAGCCCAGACUGGAAGAGCCAGCCAUCCUGACCGUCGCACCGGGGCCUGGAGCCAGGUCUAGGAUAAAGCCCAGAAACCUGCAUUUUUAAGCCUCUGGGAGUUUUGAUAUAGGCAGACUUGGAGAAACAGUGAACUUCUGUGAGGGUAGCUGUUCGUGCUUUCCACAAGCCUGCAUGGGGACCACCCACCACCAGGGGCCUUACAGUACAGACUGCUACCUCCAGCAUGUAACAAGCCACUGAACCGCUCUGUGCCUCAGAUCCUUCAUCUAUAAAAUGGGCCUAAUGAUGCUGCCUACCUAAUAGGGUCUUUGUGAAAAUCAAAGACAGAUAAGCAUCUCUAGCCUAAACUGCCCAAAUUGAAAGGACUAUUUGGACUUGAGAUGGGCAGACCCAAGCAACCCUGGCCAGUCUGCUUGGCAGGGAGAAACCACAUGAGAUUUUUAUUGUGCAAAGCUUCCUUUCACAGAAAGCUGAAAUGUAAGGUAGUUUUUGAAGAGUUGUAAAUGGCUGUUCCAAUUUAGGCAGGGGACACCUCAUCAUCUGAGGCAUUUGAGAGGAGAUAUUCCUGCCAGCAAGUCUGUGGCUUUUACUGAU